AGCUCCAAUAGCGUAUAUUAAAGUUGUUGCAGUUAAAAAGCUCGUAGUUGAAUUUAUGGCCCGUGCUGUGGCGUCCAUUUAUUUGGUACAGCUGCAGCCGUGCCAUCCUUGGGUGGAUGCUGUGUGGCAUUAGGUUGUCGUGCAGGGGAUGCCCAUCGUUUACUGUGAAAAAAUUAGAGUGUUCAAAGCAGGCUUAUGCCGUUGAAUAUAUUAGCAUGGAAUAAUAAAAUAGGUCUUUGGUUCUAUUUUGUUGGUUUGCGGACCAGAGAAAUGAUUAACAGGGACAGUUGGGGGUAUUCGUAUUCCAUUGUCAGAGGUGAAAUUCUUGGAUUUCUGGAAGACGAACUACUGCGAAAGCAUUUACCAAGGAUGUUUUCAUUAAUCAAGAACGAAAGUACGC
rnacentral:rRNA from 1 species